CUUUCCGGAAGACUGAGACUGCGCUAUAACGUGAGAUGCUGGAUGAUCAAUACCAAACGCUGUGUCAGAUUCUGGACCACGGAGUACAGUUGAGAGAGACAGACAGAAGCGAGCAUUAUGAAAACAGUAACCCAUACUUGCACACCAGGAGCUACCGAUCUAUCCGGAGACGAUUCGAUCGAGGAUAUCGCCGAAUCGGUAGAUGAACUGCGCGAAAAAUUGGCGAACAUGAAGAGGUUGAUGGAAGAACGAAAGGGGUCUACCCUGGGCGAGAUAAGUGCCAAGAAGAGAAAAGAGACCUCGGACAUUAUAGAUGGCAAUUUUCUGUCUUGGAUAUUCGGCUUGGCGCUAAUCGUCAUCCUGAGUGUCAGUUUUUAUGCCUUUUAUAAUCUCUACCAUGCGGUCUUGAAGAAGUUCCCAUCCCAUCAUACAGAACUUUAAAAAAAAAAAAAGCUGAUGCUUGCCUCUGUCGGUAAUCUCGAACAAUUCUUUAAUGAUUAAAUUACUAUAACACCGUCAUAAUUUUCAGACGAGGUUGGUGAAUGAAUCCUUACGAUCGGUUUGAUAAAAUUGCGAUACAGGUAACGAAACACGUGCCCGACUUUUUCAAGCAUCUUGGAUGUACUCUUCCGUAUCCAAUAACUGAUGAAUGAAGAAUAAACAAGUCCAAAAGGGACAAAUCAUACACGUGUUGCGCGGUUUUCGCGGAAAAAUACGACUAGCAGUACGUUUGAUCCCAUUUUGAGUUCCAGCAACAUCUUAUGGGAACUAUCGACUUAAGAAGAACAAUUUAAGAAAAGAGAUAGAAGAUCGAACAACAGCAAAUAUGUUCCUUUUACUUUCUUCAGUCUUCGCAUACAUCCACAAACAGACGUAAAGUUUUCCAUCUGAUGACAGCUUCAUGUAAAAAUCCAUUUAUCGAACAACUACCGAGUUACGUAUUGGAAGAGACGCAAGUUACUUGAAACAACUUCCCAGAAUAUUCUUUUUCGUAUGUUCAUGUGUGGAGUAUAUGGACAAAUCUGCCGUUCUACUCGGAUGGGACACUUAAAUCGGACCACCUGAAACUACUUUGAUUUUAGGUACAUAAACAUAUGUAUUACUUUAAGUUAGCAGUACAAAAGUAAGAAAGUUAAGGUGGUCUGUUUUCAAGGCCUCCCCUGUACCAAAUGUUCUCCUAACUUUAUCAUAUAAUACUGCUUGCGAAUAACAUCUUUAUCAUUUUUGUUUUCUGGUGGGCACGAGUGAUUUGUUCUAUUAUAGUAUCAUCUAAUAUGUAGAGUCAUUUCCAAUUAUUUUACUUCGAUAUCGAAGACAAAACUUCCAUGGAUUAUUACUAUUGUAUUAUUAUUAUUAUUAUUAUUAUUAUUAUUAUUAUUAUUAUUAUUAUUAUUAUUAUUGUAUUUAAUUAAAAAUGUUGCGCUCACAUUGAUGUCCAUUUUCUUUUUUUAACAUAAUUCUACAUUAUACAGUUUAACAUGGAAAACUUUUGUGUCAUAAUUUAUUCGUAUGUACAUAUAUUAUGAAUAUUUAAUAAAGUUACGAUUCGAUCGAAAAUAUCGAGUAUCUCCUGGAUCGUUCAAUCCAUCUCAACCCUCGAUAGAACAACGUCCAAUCUUUUGCCUUUUAAUACGAAAAACAACACUGCGAACAGUUAAUGAAAAAUCACUAUAUGUAUACACAUCUAGAGAUACAGUGAAAUUUUUCAUUGUAAAGCGAGAGAACUCACACGAGGAUGUCUUGACUUUUCGCUGCUCGAAG